rnacentral:rRNA from 1 species
UACAGAGACUGCAAGCGUUAUUCGGAUUCACUGGGCGUAAAGGGUGCGCAGGCGGCCGUGUGUGUGAGGCGUGAAAGCCCGGGGCUUAACCCCGGAAUUGCACCUCAAACUACAUGGCUAGAGCAUUGGAGAGGGUAGCGGAAUUCACGGUGUAGCAGUGAAAUGCGUAGAUAUCGGGAGGAACACCUGUGGCGAAAGCGGCGCACUGGACCACAACUGACGCUGAGGCGCGAAAGCUAGGGGAGCAAACAGG